GUUGAACGCUGGCGGCGUGCCUAAUACAUGCAAGUCGAGCGAACAGACGAGGAGCUUGCUCCUCUGACGUUAGCGGCGGACGGGUGAGUAACACGUGGGUAACCUACCUAGAAGGCUGGGAUAACUUCGGGAAACCGGAGCUAAUACCGGAUAAUAUAUUGAACCGCAUGGUUCAAUAGUGAAAGACGGUUUUGCUGACACUUAUAGAUGGAUCCGCGCCGCAUUAGCUAGUUGGUAAGGUAACGGCUUACCAAGGCGACGACGCGUAGCCGACCUGAGAGGGUGAUCGGCCACACUGGAACUGAGACACGGUCCAGCCUCCUACGGGAGGCAGCAGUAGGGAAUCUUCCGCAAUGGGCGAAAGCCUGACGGAGCAACGCCGCGUGAGUGAUGAAGGUCUUCGGAUCGUAAAACUCUGUUAUUAGGGAAGAACAAAUGUGUAAGUAACUAUGCACGUCUUGACGGUACCUAAUCAGAAAGCCACGGCUAACUACGUG
rnacentral:rRNA from 1 species